UACGUAGGGUGCGAGCGUUGUUCGGAAUCAUUGGGCGUAAAGCGCAUGUAGGCGGUUAGUUAAGUCUGAUGUGAAAUCCCGGGGCUCAACCCCGGAACUGCAUUGGAAACUGGCUAACUAGAGGAUGAGAGAGGAGAGUGGAAUUCCUGGUGUAGGGGUGAAAUCCGUAGAUAUCAGGAGGAACAUCGGAGGCGAAGGCGGCUCUCUGGCUCAUUUCUGACGAUGAGGCACGAAAGCGUGGGGAGCGAACAGG
rnacentral:rRNA from 1 species